AUUGUUUCUCAGUCUUUUGGCUAAGAUCAAAUGUGGUAUCUUUUUUUUUUUUUUUUAAGACCAAUGGUUCAGAAUAGAAAAUGUAGUGUCUUUUCUCAGCAGUUUAACAUGUUCUAUUCAAGGACAACCUAUUAAAUGGAUUUUUGGAACAGGGAGAUGGAGUAGAGCUUGUUCUGUCCACUCCAUGCAUUGACUUGGUAGUGCAAGACCUCCAGGAAUGGUGCAUCCUCC
rnacentral:snRNA from 1 species